CGUACGGGGAAGGAUGAGAAGCUUCGACUAAGGUUCGAUUCGAGCGCAGCGAGAAAGCGUUGCCGUAGGCAACGACCCGAAGGGCGAAGCGCGCAGCGCUGAGUAAUCCUUCCCCCGUCAUCC
rnacentral:sRNA from 1 species